CAGUCGCCGCGGUAAAACAGAGGGUGCGAGCGUUAAUCGGAUUUACUGGGCGUAAAGCGUGCGUAGGUGGUGGUUUAAGUCCGUUGUGAAAGCCCUGGGCUCAACCUGGGAAUUGCAGUGGAUACUGGGUCACUAGAGUGUGGUAGAGGAUAGUGGAAUUUCCGGUGUAGCAGUGAAAUGCGUAGAGAUCGGAAGGAACAUCUGUGGCGAAGGCGACUAUCUGGGCCAACACUGACACUGAGGCACGAAAGCGUGGGGAGCAAACAGGAUUAGAUACCCCCGUAGUCCCUGUCUCUUAUAC
rnacentral:rRNA from 1 species